UACCAGCACCCCGAGUGGUCGGGACGAUUAUUGGGCCUAAAGCAUCCGUAGCCGGUUCUGCAAGUCCCCCGUUAAAUCCAGCUGCUCAACAGAUGGGCCGCGGAGGAUACUACAGAGCUAGGAGGCAGGAGAGGCAAGCGGUACUCAGUGGGUAGGGGUAAAAUCCGUUGAUCCAUUGAAGACCACCAGUGGCGAAGGCGGCUUGCCAGAAUGCGCUCGACGGUGAGGGAUGAAAGCUGGGGGAGCAAACC
rnacentral:rRNA from 1 species